rnacentral:rRNA from 1 species
AACGAACGCUGGCGGCAGGCUUAACACAUGCAAGUCGAACGCACCUUCGGGUGAGUGGCGCACGGGUGAGUAUCGCGUGGGAACGUACCUUUUAGUUGGGAAUAGCUCCGGGAAACUGGAAUUAAUACCCGAUACGCCCUUCGGGGGAAAGAUUUAUCGCUAAAAGAUCGGCCCGCGUUAGAUUAGGUUGUUGGUGGGGUAAUGGCCUACCAAGCCUACGAUCUAUAGCUGGUCUGAGAGGAUGAUCAGCCACACUGGGACUGAGACACGGCCCAGACUCCUACGGGAGGCAGCAGUGGGGAAUAUUGGACAAUGGGCGCAAGCCUGAUCCAGCCAUGCCGCGUGUGUGAUGAAGGCCUUAGGGUUGUAAAACACUUUUAUGAGGGAAGAUGAAGACGGUACCUCAAGAAUAAGCUCCGGCUAACUUCG